rnacentral:lncRNA from 1 species
CCUGUAGUGCAAAAAUGAAUAUUUGAUUCCAGAUAUAUAUUGAUUGAUGUUACAGGGAUAAAAGAUAGACGAUGAACUUUUAAAUUCAUACAUAGAAGAUAGUAGUUUGCAUUCUCUACUUAACUCUUCUAAUGAAUUAUUAUUUUCGCUGCGAAUAUUGAUUUAAAACUUGUUGUCUAUUGUAUUCUAUUAGAUUUUUUCCCUGUUGAAGACUAAUGAUAAUUUGUUGUAUAUUAUCUUAGUCAUAAUAUUCUUUACUAGGCUAGUUGAGCUCACCCUUUUCCUUUUUGUUCCAUUUUUC